AGUCACCAUGUUCAAAAUAUUUACCACGUUCCUCGUUUGUCUCUCCUUCCUCUCAGAGGAGGUGGUGUUCUCCUCCUCUCUCCUCAUCCGCCAGACUCCUCAACACCUCCUGAGGAGGACAACUGAACACAGAGAGGCACACCUGGACUGUCACCACGGCGACAACGACUACCCGUACAUGCUGUGGUACCAACAGAAGGACAAGGGAGGACAGAAGACCAUGGAACUCAUUGGAACUCUACACUAUACAAACCCAACUCUUGAGAAGAACUAUGAAACACGGUUCAACUUAACAGGUCAUUCCAAGGCCAAAGCCAGCCUGGUUAUCUCUGAGAUAAACCCUACAGACAGUGCCGUGUAUUACUGUGCAGCCAGUCAGCACAGUGCUGCAAAUUCAUUCCCUCACUAA